CCUACGGGGUGCAGCAGUGGGGAAUAUUGGACAAUGGGCGAAAGCCUGAUCCAGCCAUGCCGCGUGUGUGAAGAAGGCCUUCGGGUUGUAAAGCACUUUCAGUGGGGAAGAAAGCCUUGGGGCUAAUACCCUCGAGGAAGGACAUCACCCACAGAAGAAGCACCGGCUAACUCCGUGCCAGCAGCCGCGGUAAUACGGAGGGUGCGAGCGUUAAUCGGAAUUACUGGGCGUAAAGCGCGCGUAGGCGGUCUGAUAAGCCGGUUGUGAAAGCCCCGGGCUCAACCUGGGAACGGCAUCCGGAACUGUCAGGCUAGAGUGCAGGAGAGGAAGGUAGAAUUCCCGGUGUAGCGGUGAAAUGCGUAGAGAUCGGGAGGAAUACCAGUGGCGAAGGCGGCCUUCUGGACUGACACUGACGCUGAGGUGCGAAAGCGUGGGUAGCAAACAGGAUUACAUACCCGAGUAGUC
rnacentral:rRNA from 1 species